rnacentral:rRNA from 1 species
GGUGGGGAUGACGUCAAAUCAUCAUGCCCCUUAUGUCUUGGGCUUCACGCAUGCUACAAUGGCCGGUACAAAGGGCUGCAAUACCGUGAGGUGGAGCGAAUCCCAAAAAGCCGGUCCCAGUUCGGAUUGAGGUCUGCAACUCGACCUCAUGAAGUCGGAGUCGCUAGUAAUCGCAGAUCAGCAACGCUGCGGUGAAUACGUUCCCGGGUCUUGUACACACCGCCCGUCAAGUCAUGAAAGUCGGUAACACCUGAAGCCGGUGGCCCAACCCUUGUGGAGGGAGCCGUCGAAGGUGGGAUCGGUAAUUAGGACUAAGUCGUAACAAGGUAGCCG